UACGGAAGGGGGCUAGCGUUGUUCGGAAUACUGGGCGUAAAGGGUGCGUAGGCGGGUCUUUAAGUCAGGGGUGAAAUCCUGGAGCUCAACUCCAGAACUGCCUUUGAUACUGAAGAUCUUGAGUUCGGGAGAGGUGAGUGGAACUGCGAGUGUAGAGGUGAAAUUCGUAGAUAUUCGCAAGAACACCAGUGGCGAAGGCGGCUCACUGGCCCGAUACUGACGCUGAGGCACGAAAGCGUGGGGAGCAAACAGG
rnacentral:rRNA from 1 species